rnacentral:tRNA from 1 species
CAACACAUAGAAAACACAAUUUCAAAGGACUCAUAAUCCUUUGGUCCACGGUUCAAGUCCGUGCGGGCCCACCA